AUGACUGUGUCAUGUGAUCAAACAACUGAAAUACCAACAAUUUUGAGUGCACCCAUUGAAUUAACUGUUGAUGCAAAAGAAUCAAUGUUUAAUCAUUUUGAUAUGACCUCUAACCUUGGUGAUGAUUCUGUGUCGAAUGACUCAUUGCAUGUUUGCUUAUCUAAGCAUGUUGUAGCAUGUAAAUUUGAUUCAAAUAAGGUUUAUUCACCAAUGUUGGGAUGGUUUAAUGAUGAACAUUGUCAAUCUUUUGAAAUAAAUAAGAGCUUCACUUAUAUGUGCAAACUGAGUUGUAAUAUUUUCAUGCCUUCUAGUUCUUGUGCUAAUUUGUUGGCUUUAGAUUUUAUGAACUAUGCAAGUUACUAA
rnacentral:rRNA from 1 species